rnacentral:rRNA from 1 species
GAUUUCUGGUAUAAUGCGCCUGGCCCGUGCCCGUAAGGGUUAUGAGUGCCGGUGCGCGUUUACCAUCCUUCCAGUAAACGUUUCUACCCUUAACUGGGCCGGAUACGGAAACUGGAUCUUUUACUUUGAAAAAAUUAGAGUGUUUAAAGCAGGCUUUUGCCAUGAAUACAUUAGCAUGGAAUAAUAAUCUAGGACUUCGGUUCUAUUUUGUUGGUUUCUAGAUCUGAAGUAAUGAUUGAUAGGGAUCGUUGGGGGUGCUAGUAUUGGCCGGCCAGAGGUGAAAUUCUUGGAUUCGGUCAAGACUAACUUAUGCGAAAGCAUU